ACGGAAGGCAGCAGUGGGGAAUAUUGCACAAUGGGCGAAAGCCUGAUGCAGCUAUGCCGCGUGUAUGAAGAAGGCCUUAGGGUUGUAAAGUACUUUCAUCGGGGAGGAAAAAACAAAACUAAUAAUUUUAUUUCUUGACGUUACCCGAAAAAGAAGCACCGGCUAACUCCGUGCCAGCAGCCGCGGUAAUACGGAGGGUGCUAGCGUUAAUCAGAAUUACUGGGCGUAAAGAGCACGUAGGUGGUUUUUUUAAGUCAGAUGUGAAAUCCCUGGGCUUAACCUGGAACUGCAUUUUGAAACUGAAAUACUAGAGUAUCGUAGAGGGAGGUAGAAUUCUAGGUGUAGCGGUGAAAUGCGUAGAUAUCUGGAGGAAUACCUGUGGCGAAAGCGGCCUCCUAAACGAAUACUGACACUGAGGUGCGAAAGCGUGGGGAGCAAACAGGGAUUAGAUACC
rnacentral:rRNA from 1 species